GCCCGCCGAGCUUACUAAGAGGACUAAAUGGCCAUCAGAGUUGACCUCGUGGCUUUUGUCCAAACAGCUGCUGAGGACCCCCCACGUGGCCCCAAGGAGCUCUCACCAGGGACUGGGUGCUUCUCAAGACUCUACAUCCUAAGCCCCUGCAGCCCGGGGGACCGGAACUCACACCUGAUCCUCACCGCUCCCAAGGCGGUAAAAUUACUUGGGUACCUGGCUUGGCACCACAUCUCUAGGAUUAAGUUCGCCCCUGACCAACAUGCCCUCGACAGGUGCAGGUGGGAACAGGUGGGCCCUACCAAGGUGUGCAUUCCCAAGGUUGGCCCUCCUUCUCCUCUCCCUCUCCCACCUGGUGACAUCAGAACAGUACCAAUGGCGCUUUAAAAUCUGGGAAACUAAAGGUACCACCUAUGAUGCCACCCAGGCUGAGCUAAUAGGGUGGGGGGACUGUCCAGUGGCAGGAUGCUCCCGGCCCCUUUCUUUCAAGAUACAACCAACCGUGGUGGACUCCUCAACCCUAGCAGGAGGCCGAUCUGGAACUCGACUGUAUGCAUGUUUCUUUCACGACCAAACCAAAAGCUGGUGCAAGCAAGGGGCCAAGUACACGGACUACUACGGAGGCUGCCCUUACUGGUCAUGCAAGAUGCAUGCCACCUGGACUCCCAUGUCCUCCCUCUUCUCCUGGAGUCCCCCCAACUGCCAGGGGGCAUGCUCCCUGAAUAUCACCAUCUCUGACCCUUGGGCAAAAAGGUGGGAGGAGGGAGUGGAAGCCAAAAUUUACCGCUCGUACUCCGCGGCUCACGCCCCACUAGAGGCGGUGUGGUUUAUCUACAGGGAACUCAGGGCUCUCCCUCCUGACCCUAAGACAAUCUUUUCACUCCUACAUGCAAAAGAUAGAAUACUCAGGCCACCUCAACUAGACAUACCCUUUACACCUGGCCCCAAAUAAUUCAGGAGUCAGUAAAUUUAUUAAACCAGACUGUCCAGGGCCUUGACCUUACCCAGUGCUUUUUAUGCUCAUUUCCCUCUGAGGAGGGGGGAGGCAAUAAAACUGUAAAUCUUCCCUUGCCAAGUCCCACCCUACAGGGUGUCAGGAACCCCACCCUCGUGUCUCCUGGUGGAAUCCUGAAGGACGGUUUCUCUACAUCUGCUACUGUGGAACCUCUGGCUGCUGUGAUCCGACCCUGCCCACUAACUCAACCUGUGAAGUAAAACAUGCCUGUAGCACUCUGACUUCCCCUUCAGGGACCAUGUUCUGGUGUAAUGGAACCCUGCUGUCAUGCAUUAAUCAGACUGUGACCUGCUGCCUUCCGGUAACACCUGUCCCCCAGCUGACUUUAUACACCAGAGCGGAAAUCAUCCAGGAACUGUCCCCACACCCCCGAUUUCAGAUGGCUGCCUUCCUUCCCAUAAUGGUAGGAAUCAGCCUGGUUACAUCCCU